rnacentral:siRNA from 1 species
AGGAAGAUGGUUUGGAUGG